rnacentral:tRNA from 1 species
GCUUCACUAGCUCAGUUGGCAGAGCGUCAGUCUCAUAGCUAAUCAGUUGUGCAAUCUGAAGGUCGACAGUUCGAACCUGCCGUGGAGCA